GACGAACGCUGGCGGCGUGCUUAACACAUGCAAGUCGAACGGAAAGGCCCUGCUUUUGUGGGGUGCUCGAGUGGCGAACGGGUGAGUAACACGUGAGUAACCUGCCCUUGACUUUGGGAUAACUUCAGGAAACUGGGGCUACUACCGGAUAGGAGCUCCUGCUGCAUGGUGGGGGUUGGAAAGUUUCGGCGGUUGGGGAUGGAUUCGCGGCUUAUCAGCUUGUUGGUGGGGUAGUGGUUUACCAAGGCUUUGACGGGUAGCCGGCCUGAGAGGGUGACCGGCCACAUUGGGACUGAGAGACGGCCCAGACGCCUACGGGAGGCAGCAGUGGGGAAUAUUGCACAAUGGGCGGAAGCCUGAUGAAGAAACGCCGCGGGCGGGAAGACGGCCUUCGGGUUGUAAACCGCUGUCGCCUGUGACGAAGCGUGAGUGACGGUAAUGGGUAAAGAAGCACCGGCUAACUACGUG
rnacentral:rRNA from 1 species